GGAAGUAAAAGUCGUAACAAGGUUUCCGUAGGUGAACCUGCGGAAGGAUCAUUCACAAACGAGUGUUUUAUGGCACUCUUUAAAAAUCCAUAUCCACCUUGUGUGCAAUGUUUGUUGGGAAAGUCUUUUCUUUCCCUUCAUAAAUAUCAACCUAUAUCUUUAACAACAUUCGUCUGAUAACAUAUUAUGAAUAUACUUAAUUCAAAAUAUAACUUUCAACAACGGAUCUCUUGGCUCUCGCAUCGAUGAAGAACGCAGCGAAAUGCGAUACGUAAUGUGAAUUGCAGAAUUCAGUGAAUCAUCGAAUCUUUGAACGCAUAUUGCGCUCUUUGGUAUUCCGAAGAGCAUGCUUGUUUGAGUAUCAGUAAACACCUCAACCUCUCUUUUUGACAAAAAAAGGGAGGGUGGACUUGAGCUAUCCCAACGACCUUCACCGGUAGGCGGGCGGCUUGAAAUGCAGGUGCAGCUGGACUUUUAUCUGAGCUAAAAGCAUAUCUAUUUAGUCCUCGUCAAACAGGAUUAUUACUUUUGCUGCAGCUAACAUAAAGGACAAUUGUCCUCUUUGCUGACUGAUGCAGGAUUUUACGACACUUUAUGUGUUGUUCAACUCGAUCUCAAAUCAAGUAAGACUACCCGCUGAACUUAAGCAUAU
rnacentral:rRNA from 1 species